UUUUUCUACUCUCUUGUAUCAAUCGACACACAGGAAAUGUAUUAUUCGACAAAAAGGCAACAAUUCCUUAUCGACCAGGGAUAUAGUUUCAAGGUCAUCACUAGCUUGCCGCCACCUGAAGAAGGACCUAACCUGAGUUUUCACACACUCGAUGAACAGCUUGACCUUUUAGGAAA